UGUACAGGCCACCAGAUGUUG
rnacentral:misc_RNA from 1 species